UGCCUUCCAAUUUAGAGCGGCAAAUCCCGUUGCUUCUCCUCUUGCUUCGAGUUGAGGUCUCCAUCAGUGGGCUUCUUUGCCCUACCAAUCCUCGGAAACGAAAGAGUCGGAGCCUCUUCUGCGUCCCAUGACCUAAAUCAUUGCCUUCAAGACCCAUGAGAAAAGCUCCACUUUGAUGAACUGAGGAGAAGAGGAUCGAUUCUGGCACUGUGAUGCUGUCGCUUUUCGAUAUGGCUCUCAGGAUGUUAUUGCUCGGAAAUGCUUAGAGAUUCUUCUGAUACUGCCAUCAGAGAUGCAGAUUGCCAUGAUCCCUUAUAGUGUCUGGAUUUGCUGAAUCCGAAUCACAAAGAAGUGCUAUGUAAAAGAUUUGGUGGCCCAAGAAAUGUAUCAACACUUGUGAGGAACAAUCCAAUUGUGUUCCCUCAUGAUUGAAGGCUUAGAUAGAUGGAAGGAAUGGAUCAUCAAAUCGGUGUUUGGCCCAUGCAACUGCCAUCUUGUCUUGAAGAAAAAGGUUAAUCUGCUACUUUGAUGAUGCUGGUAAAUUUGGUGAGAGUAUAGCUCCAUCAAGUGCAAUAGGAAACAUGAGACUAGAUGUUCCAAAGCUGGACUUUUCAUUUUUGAAGUCUCUAAUUGUUUCCAGGAAAAAGAAGCUUGUAACAGAUUUACAUGUAGAAUUGGACACCUUUGUGGGUUUUUGUUUAUCAAAGUGAACAAUUUGUAUCAACACUUCUUUUUUCUUAAAUAUAUCCUGUGUUUUAGUGCUAA